CCUACGGGGGGCAGCAGUGGGGGAUAUUGCACAAUGGGGGAAACCCUGAUGCAGCGACGCCGCGUGGGUGAAGAAGCGCCUCGGCGCGUAAAGCCCUGUCAGCAGGGAAGAAAAUGACGGUACCUGCAGAAGAAGCCCCGGCUAAAUACGUGCCAGCAGCCGCGGUAAUACGUAGGGGGCAAGCGUUAUCCGGAUUUAAUGGGUGGAAAGGGGGCGCAGACGGCGAUGCAGGUCAGGAGGGAAAGACGGGGGCCCAACCCCGGGACUGCUCUUGGAACUGCGUUGCUAGAGUGCAGGAGGGGCAGGCGGAAUUCCUGGUGUAGCGGUGAAAUGCGUAGAUAUCAGGAGGAACACCGGUGGCGAAGGCGGCCUGCUGGACUGCAACUGACGUUGAGGCUCGAAAGCGUGGGGAGCAAACAGGAUUAGAUACCCUAGUAGUC
rnacentral:rRNA from 1 species